AUUGAACGCUGGCGGCAGGCCUAACACAUGCAAGUCGAACGAGUGGCGGACGGGUGAGUAAUGUCUGGGAAACUGCCAGAUGGAGGGGGAAAACUACUGGAAACGGUAGCUAAUACCGCAUACCAUGAGAUGUGCCCAGAUGGGAUGAGCUAGUUGGUGGGGUAACGGCUCACCAAGGCGAAGAUCCCUAGCUGGUCGGAGGGGAUGACCAGCCACACUGGAACUGAGACACGGCCCAGACUCCGACGGGAGGCAGCAGUGGGGAAUAUUGCACAAUGGGCGCAAGCCUGAUGCAGCCAUGCCGCGUGUAUGAAGAGGGCCUUCGGGUUGUAAAGUACUUUCAGCGGGGAGGCGUUACCCGCAGAAGAAGCACCGGCUAACUCCGUGCCAGCAGCCGCGGUAAUUC
rnacentral:rRNA from 1 species